AUUGAACGCUGGCGGCAGGCCUAACACAUGCAAGUCGAACGAGUGGCGGACGGGUGAGUAAUGACUGGGAAACUGCCCGAUGGAGGGGGAUAACUACUGGAAAAGGUAGCAAAUACCGCAUACCAUCGGAUGUGCCCAGAUGGGAUUAGCGAGUAGGUGGGGUAAAGGCUCACCUAGGCGACGAUCCCUAGCUGGUAUGAGAGGAGGACCAGCCACACUGGAACAGUGACACGGUCCAGACUCCUACGGGAGGCAGCAUUGGGGAAUAUUGCACAAUGGGCGCAAGCCUGAUGCAGCCAGGCCGCGUGUGUGAAGAAGGCCUUCAGGUUGUAAAGCACUUUCAGCGUGGAGGCGUUACCCGCAGAAGAAGCACCGGCUAACUCCGUGCCAGCCGCCGCGGUAAUAC
rnacentral:rRNA from 1 species